UUAUGGACGAGGGAGUAAGCAAGAUCGCAGAUGGUACCAAGCGCCGACACGCGUCGAGUUUACCACAAAUGACGAUGGCGCCGCGCCACGGUGAAUCCCGGCGACGGCGAGAACCGAUGCCUGAGCGUGACGGCGCCGCUGAAUUUGGGAGGUCUACAGGAGCGCGGUCGCUACCCGUUAAAGGCAAACUAUGCCCUAGACGAACGCGCGCCGUAGAGAGCAAUGUUCUGCCUGCCUCCCUCCCUACGCUACGCUCCGUAGGUAGGUGGCAGCGGAUCCGAUCGCCCGCCGCUGCCACGGCCAAGACGACGGCGACACGCGCCCACUGGAGCUCGGAUUCCCCGCCUAGCCGAUGGAUGGGAUGGACGGACGGACGCGCGCUUGUCAGGGUCUCCAAGUAAUUUCAGCUGCUGGGUGCAGGGCUUUCAUCGUCGAAUCGUGACACACGCUGGAUUUCCAGCUGCUGAGUGCGAGGUUGUCACGGUCGCGAUACCGGCACGCCCUCAGUUUCUAGCCGUUGUAUGCACCUGGAAUUUUGUGGCUGACAAUACCUGUAUCUGCAUUGACAUUUACUUGCACCAUGCUGUUGUCUGCACUUUUUCAGAAGAAAAGCGAAAGGGGAAAGCAAGAGGAUUAUUAUGCUUGGAUUCCCCUAUUCCGUAUGCUUCGAGCGAUUACGCUGGUGAUUCAGAUGAGCAGCAAAAUGACGCAGAAAGAAUGGCGCCUGGAGACGCGAGAAGUUCUCACGGCAUCUCGUGCCACAUAUCUUAAUCGGAUGAUGUUGGCGGCUGGCUGCUAUAGUUCCCGCCGCUGCUUCACAUUGCCUACUAGGAUCCAAGAAUAGCAGAGUUUGUUAUGAAAGCUGACCUCAAAGGGGAAAAAAGGAUGCUGCUGAGGAAUAUUUGGGCUUAUCGGUGAUGUAAACGUGACGGGAUUUAUAAUGGAUAUGUAAUUACCAUGGAGGUAAAGCAGAAGAAGUGCGCGGAAAUUCUUAGAGGUGGAUCCCUGUACUUCUUCUCAAUACACAAAUUUUCAGGUACCUGUUACUGUCAGUUAUCACUGACCUGUACUACAUGCUUGCGUUGAGCAGUUCUCUUUGCUGUACUGUAGUAUCGAUGCCUUCAUCAACAAUGCUCUCCAUGUAUUUUUGAUGCAACUGGACCUUCAAUUGUACCAAGUUGGUUUGAUAUCUGCAUGUGUCACUGUCAACACCUCAGAGAAUCUUCCUUGCUGCAGUAUGCAGAAUUUUGCACUGUAUCUGCCUUGCAAUGAAACGGUACCACUUGUCAUAUCCAGACCUCUUGGGUUUCAGUUCCGGGUUGAACUGCCCUUAACCUAUAUAUGAAAACAUCAAUAAUUCACGGCCAUUAUGUAUUUACAUCUACCACUGGUUUUGAUCUA